rnacentral:siRNA from 1 species
GAGCAGAGAGUCCCACAUGUCCA